UGGGUUGACUAGGCGAUCGCGUUAGCAAUAACGAGGAACGUCCGGGCUCCGCAGAGUGAAGUGGUGGGUAACACCCACUCGAGGAAACUCGCAAGAUAGUGCCACAGAAAAUAAACCGCCGUGCAAACGGUAAGGGUGAAACGGUGGUGUAAGAGACCACCAGCGAAUCGGGUGACCGGUUUGGCUUGGUAAACCUCACUUGGAGCAAGGUCAGACAGAAAGUGUUUGAGAGCUACUCGCUCGAGCUUUCGGGUAGACCGCUAGAGGUUGUCGGUAACGGCAAUCGUAGAUAGAUGAUCGCCCACGACAGAACCCGGCGUAUCGGUCAACCCAUCCA
rnacentral:RNase_P_RNA from 1 species